AUUAAACGCUGGCGGCAUGCCUUACACAUGCAAGUCGAACGGCAGCACGGGGGCAACCCUGGUGGCGAGUGGCGGACGGGUGAGUAAUACAUCGGAACGUGCCCUGGAGUGGGGGAUAACGUAGCGAAAGUUACGCUAAUACCGCAUAUUCUGUGAGCAGGAAAGCAGGGGAUCGCAAGACCUUGCGCUCUGGGAGCGGCCGAUGUCGGAUUAGCUAGUUGGUGGGUAAAGGCCUACCAAGGCGACGAUCCGUAGCGGGUCUGAGAGGACGACCCGCCACACUGGAACUGAGACACGGUCCAGACUCCUACGGGAGGCAGCAGUGGGGAAUUUUGGACAAUGGGGGCAACCCUGAUCCAGCCAUGCCGCGUGAGUGAAGAAGGCC
rnacentral:rRNA from 1 species